rnacentral:rRNA from 1 species
GACAGAGGGGGCAAGCGUUGCUCGGAAUUACUGGGCGUAAAGGGCUCGUAGGCGGCCAACUAAGUCAGACGUGAAAUCCCUCGGCUUAACCGGGGAACUGCGUCUGAUACUGGAUGGCUAGAGUUUGGGAGAGGGAUGCGGAAUUCCAGGUGUAGCGGUGAAAUGCGUAGAUAUCUGGAGGAACACCGGUGGCGAAGGCGGCAUCCUGGACCAACACUGACGCUGAGGAGCGAAAGCCAGGGGAGCAAACGGG